UUGGAGGGCAAGUCUGGUGCCAGCAGCCACGGUAAUUCCAGCUCCAAUAGCGUAUAUUAAAGUUGCUGCAGUUAAAAAGCUCGUAGUUGAAUUUCGGGACCAUCAUGUCGGUCGUGCCUCGGUACGUACUGGCAUUGUUAGUUUCUACCUUCUGACGAACCAUGAUGUCAUUUAUUUGGUGUUGUGGGAAAUCAGGACUGUUACUUUGAAAAAAUUAGAGUGUUUAAAGCAGGCUCACGCUUGAAUACAUUAGCAUGGAAUAAUGAAAUAGGACGUUUGAUUCUAUUUUGUUGGUUUCUAGGAUCGACGUAAUGAUUAAUAGGGAUAGUUGGGGGCAUUAGUAUUCAAUUGUCAGAGGUGAAAUUCUUGGAUUUAUUGAAGACUAACUACUGCGAAAGCAUUUGCUAAGGAUGUUUUCAUUAAUCAAGAACGAAAGUUAGGGGAUCGAAGACGAUCAGAUACCGUCGUAGUCUUAACCAUAAACUAUGCCGACUAGGGAUCGGAUGAUGUUAAUUUUUUAAUGACUCAUUCGGCGCCUUACGGGAAACCAAAGUGUUUGGGUUC
rnacentral:rRNA from 1 species